rnacentral:rRNA from 1 species
GCCCUUAGAGUUUGAUCAUGGCUCAGAAUGAACGCUGGCGGCGUGCUUAACACAUGCAAGUCGUACGAGAAAGCCCUGAGCUUGCUUGGGGCGAGUAAAGUGGCGCACGGGUGAGUAACGCGUGGAUAAUCUGCCUUUGGGUUCGGGAUAACACUUCGAAAGAGGUGCUAAUACCGGAUAACAUCAAUUGGGCUUUGGUUUGAUUGAUCAAAGAUGGCCUCUGCAUGCAAGCUAUUGCCUGGAGAUGAAUCCGCGUACCAUUAGCUUGUUGGUGGGGUAAAGGCUCACCAAGGCGACGAUGGUUAGCUGGUCUGAGAGGAUGAUCAGCCACACUGGCACUGACACACGGGCCAGACUCCUACGGGAGGCAGUAGUGAGGAAUUUUGCGCAAUGCGGGGAACCCCGACCUUACAACACCUCGUCGAGUGA